CUAAUACAUGCAGUCGAACGGGAAGCACCCUUCGGGGUUGUGGAGAGUGGCGCCGGGUGAGUACACGUAGCUGACUACCCUACACAGUGGGAUACCCACGGAAACGUGAGCUAAUACCCCGUACGCUCGUCAAGAUUAGACGCCUGACGAGGAAAGCUGAGGCGGUGUAUGCGGUGGCUGCGGUCCAUCAGCUAGUUGGUGUGGUAAAGGCGCACCAAUGCAACGACGGAUAGGGGACCUGAGAGUGGUGACCCCCCAAACUGGUACUGACACACGGACCAAACUCCUACGGGAGGCAGCAGUAAGGAAUAUUGCGCAAUGGAGGCAACUCUGACGCAGCAAUGCCGCGUGCGGGAAGCAGGGCUUCGGCUCGUAAAACGCUUUUCUGAGGGAAGAGCAAUGACGGUACCUCAGGAAUAAGUCCCGGCUAAACUACGUGCACAGCAGCCGCAGGUAAACGUAAGGGGCAAGCGUUAUCCCGGAUUAGCUGGGCGUAAAGCGCGUGCAUGCGGUCGCGUAAGUCGUGCGUGAAAGCUCCCAGGCUUAACCGGGAGAGGUCGUGCGAGACUGCGGGACUAGAUGCAGAGAGAGUCAAGUGGAAUUCCGGGUGUAGUGGUGAAAUGCGUAGAUAUCCGGAAGAACAUCAGUGGCGAAGGCGGCUUGCUGGCUCUGGCCUGACGCUCAGACGCGAAAGCAUGGGGAGCGAACGGGAUUAGAAACCCCGGUAGUCCAUGCCGUAAACGAUGUCUACUAGGCGUUGGGAGCAAUCUCAGUGCCGAAGCUAACGCGUUAAGUAGACCGCCUGGGGACUACGACCGCAAGGUUAAAACUCAAAGGAAUUGAAGGGGGCCCGCACAGGCAGCGGAGCGUGUGGUUUAAUUCGAGGCUACACGAAGAACCUUACCUGGGCUUGACAUAUAAGUGGUAGGAAACUGAAAAGGGACCGACCUUCGGGAGC
rnacentral:rRNA from 1 species